rnacentral:rRNA from 1 species
CGUGCCUAAUGCAUGCAAGCCGAACGGCUCGAUUUAUCGAGCAGUGGCAAACGGGUGAGUAACACGUAAGAACCUACCCUCAAGUGGGGGAUAACCCCGAGAAAUCGGGGCUAAUACCGCAUACGCUCUCUGAUUUUGUCAGGGNAGGAAAGUUGAGGCGCUUGAGGACGGGCUUGCGUCCGAUUAGCUUGUUGGUGAGGUAAUGGCUCACCAAGGCUGAGAUCGGUAGCUGGUCUUAGAAGAUGAUCAGCCACACUGGGACUGAGAUACGGCCCAGACUCCUACGGGAGGCAGCAGCAGGGAAUAUUGCGCAAUGGGUGAAAGCCUGACGCAGCAACGCCGCGUGGGGGAUGAAGGCCCUCGGGUCGUAAACCCCUUUUCCCAGGGAAGAUGAUGACGGUACCUGAGGAAUAAGUCUCGGCUAACUACGUGCCAGCAGCCGCGGUAAGACGUAGGAGGCGAGCGUUAUCCGGAAUUAUUGGGCGUAAAGGGCGUGUAGGCGGCUCUUCAAGUCUUUGGUGAAAUCUCCCGGCUUAACCGGGAGGGUGCCAGGGAAACUGGAGGGCUUGAGGGCAGCAGAGGGGGGUGGAAUUCCCGGUGUAGUGGUGAUAUGCGUAGAUAUCGGGAGGAACACCAGUGGCGAAGGCGGCCCCUGGGCUGUUCCUGACGCUGAGGCGCGAAAGCGUGGGGAGCAACAG